rnacentral:rRNA from 1 species
UACUAGAGUAGCACUCGCAUAUCAAUAAGCGGAGGAAAAGAAACUAACAAGGAUUCCCCUAGUAACGGCGAGUGAAGCGGGAAGAGCUCAAAUUUGAAAUCCUUAAAGGGUUUCCCUUUACGAAUUGUAGUUUAAAGAAGUGUUUUCUGUUGAGGUUUUCGGUAAAAGUUCUUUGGAAUAGGACAUCAUAGAGGGUGAGAAUCCCGUAUUUGACCUUUACUUUCAACUUUGUGAUACACUUUCAAAGAGUCGGAUUGUUUGGGAAUGCAGUCCAAAAUGGGUGGUAAAUUUCAUCUAAAGCUAAAUAUUGGCGAGAGACCGAUAGCGAACAAGUACCGUGAGGGAAAGAUGAAAAGAACUUUGAAAAGAGAGUUAAACAGUACGUGAAAUUGUCAAAAGGGAAGCGUUUGACACCAGUGUUGUUUUUCUGAGAAUCAAUUAAAGAACUGUUUAUGCUAAGUUGUUUAGACUUUAUCAGCUAUCUGUUUAGUUUUGAGCUUUUCUUUAAUGCACUUUUCAGUUAACAAGUCAACAUCGAUUUCUUUUGCUGUAAAAAAGCUUGAGGAAGGUGGCUUGAGAUUCGUCUUAAGUGUUUAUAGCCUCUUGCCUAUGCAGUCGGAGAGAUUGAGGUCUGCAGCGUAGAUCCUUCGGGGCUAAAUGCAUUUGUGCUAAGUUAUAGCAUUUUAUAGACAACUUGUUGACUAUGAUUUGUCUUGUAGCUUACUCGCUUAUGUUAUUUUACCUACGCUUAGGAUGUUGAUCUCUCACAGUCGAGC